GACGAACCGUGCGAACGUUGUUCGGAAUCACUGGGCUUAAAGGGCGCGUAGGCGGGUUCUCAAGUCUGGAGUGAAAGCCCACGGCUCAACCGUGGAAGCGCUUCGGAUACUGGGGGCCUCGAGGGGGGUAGGGGCGUGCGGAACUUCCGGUGGAGCGGUGAAAUGCGUAGAUAUCGGAAGGAACACCGGUGGCGAAAGCGGCGCGCUGGACCCCUUCUGACGCUGAGGCGCGAAAGCCAGGGGAGCAAACGGG
rnacentral:rRNA from 1 species